AGUCCUUUGCUCAAAAAAUUAUAUAGAAAGAAGAAACAUUACUUUGCAUCAAAAGCUUAGUCUUUCCAUGGCUCAUAACUUCAAGUCCUCCACCUCCACCACCGCCAAGUACUCCACCACCACCACCACCAGCAGAUCCACCACUAAGCUCACCACCACCCCCAACAAAAUAGACCAUGGCCAAAAGCAUAAGAAAAUUGUAACUUCUUCAUCAGCACCAAAAGCUCAAACCAGUCAAGGCACACACCACCACAACCAGGUCCACCAUCACCACCACCACCACCACCAUCACCAUCAUCAACAAACAUCAAAGCCAAAAGCACCAGGAAAAGCCCUCACUCAACCAAAGCCUAAACUAGCCAUGGCACAUGCCACGGCCACCAUCAAAUCCACCACCGCCAAGGCCACGAUCAAGUUGGGACAAGGAGUAGAUGUCAAAGUGGUAACCAAAGAAGCAGUAUUCAAAGGUGGAAAGAUAGCUUAUAUCAAUUAAUGGCAUGCAAGUUCUCAAUUUAUAAAGGAGUUGGAUGCUGCAGAUGUGAAGGAAUCUUUUGCAGAAUCUAUACUGGGAUUACAGAACUUGUAAUAUGUUAUGAGAUUAUGUUGAAUUUUUUUUUUUUUUUUGUUGUUGUUGUUGUUGUUGUACUUGGUGAACAAAAUUAGAGAAUUAUCUCAUUAUAUUAGCAGACGUUUGACGGAUCUUGUAGAUUUGAUUUAGCAAGGCAGUUUUUCCGACUCCCCCUUUCCCAUACAGGCCAAUAAUCUUCACUUGAUCUUCUUCAUAACAUCUCCAAACUUCAUGAAAUUUUGACUCUAAACCCACCGUUAGUUCAGAAGGUAUUUGAUCAUACAUUGGAUCAUCCUUUCUCUGAUCAGCCACCUCCUUAAAUUCUCUACCUUUUUCCUUCAACUCACUCACAACUUCCAGCUUUUGAGCAACUCUCUUCCCGAACCUGAAGCUUGCAAACUUGUAGUUUUUGUAACAAAAGCCUCCAAGACAUAACCUCUCAACUUCAUCAGAGCUGUCUGUAAUCAGUUUAUCAACAUCGCUUUCUGUCUUUUCCACCCUCGUAAACCACCCUUGCACUUUGUCCAGCCGUUCCCUUUGUGGUAGUUGUUCCUCUUUUUUAACUCUCCGAAACACAUCGUUCCUUGCAUCACUCAAUAUUUACAAUUCAGUAAGUAAGGUAUCAAGAUUUUUUUUGAGUUCACGUUUAUACUAUAAUUUUUUAGAAACAUAAUCUAUACAAUUUAAUAAAGGGGCAAGAAUUGUGUCAUCAGCUGGUUGUGGGAUUGAAUUGCAGUUAGCCAUAGUGGAUAAGAUUUCUAAUAUAUAGGAGAGGGAGUAGAGAGUGACGAGUUACAGGCAGUUGAAAGAUUCAAAGGAAGAAGCACUAGAGAGAAGUAGAAGAUGAAGAGCAUGUAAGGGAAAGGACAAAGCUUCUCAGGUCUUGAGAGGAAGCCUUGACAAACUGCCAUGGUGGUGGAUCACAUAGCUACCAUGAGGACUAAAGUUAAUUUGAGACUGUAAUUUAUCUUUUAAUCACUUAUAAGUUUAAAAAUAAUCAACUUUGAAUAAAAUCCAAGAAGUGUUUAUUUUAUUUAAUUUCAA